CAUGCAAGUCGAGCGAGAAAAGGGGGGCAACUUGGGAGGAAAGCGGCGCACGGGUGAGUAACACGUGGGUAAUCUGCCCGGGAGUGGGGAAUAACACCGGGAAACCGGUGCUAAUACCGCAUACGAUAACGAGGUUUGCGGAUCUUGUUACUUUCCGAGCAAUUCGCUCCAGGAGGAGCCCGCGGCUGAUUAGCUAGUUGGUGAGGUAAUGGCUCACCAAGGCAACGAUCAGUAUCCGGUCUGAGAGGACGGUCGGACACACUGGAACUGAGACACGGUCCAGACUCCUACGGGAGGCAGCAGUGGGGAAUUUUUGGCAAUGGGGGCAACCCUGACCAAGCAACGCCGCGUGGGUGAUGAAGUCUCUUGGGACGUAAAACCCUUUUCGACGGGGAAGAAACCGCAAGGUUGACGGUACCCGUAGAAGAAGCCCC
rnacentral:rRNA from 1 species